UGGUGGGUCGCGAAAGACAAAUCUUAAUUCAUAAUUUUGUUACUAUUCUGUCCCACAAAUCUAUUCCAUAUUUAGAAUUAGAAUCUAACUACACGUAAAAAAAAUUAAUUAAUAUAUUUAUUAAAUUUCGUUUUUAUUAUCAAUUAGAUGUUGAAUAUGAUUAUCAUAACAAAUCUGAAUUAUGCUUAUUUAGAGUGCAUAUAUUGAGUAUUAUCGUAUCGAAUGAAAAGUAUAAGUUUUGCUUAAUGGCAAAAUUGUAUUAAGCAAAACUUAUACUUUUGACUACGUUGCGAUAUGAGAGAGAAAAAACAGUCGUCAGUGGUAUUCAUUCUGCUGCUGGAGGAAAAGUGUUGCAGAGAAAAAAGUGUGAAAAUGCAAUAAAAAUGUUAUUCUGAGCCGCUCCGGGGAUGGUUUGCCGUGAAAUUCGAUGCAACCUCAUCGGGAACUACCGACUACACGAUCUUAUGAGGACGCGCAUGCUAAGCCCGAUCCAGAUUGUACGGAAAGUUAAGCAGUCGUGGUGGAGCAUAAAAACGAUGCUGAUUCCCUAGGCGGGUCCAUCCGGCAGUACGGCCGUAGAAUGCCGGGGAGUUAAUCUGUGAAACGUUAUAUAGUUUUCAUCGCACAUUAGGUAUACAAUCCAUCGAGCUUUUCGAUACCGACACCGGAGAAUUGCAAGCGGUGCAUAAGGAAGAUUAUUUGGAUCCCCUUAAUGUGCAGCGUUUCAUGUGUUUACCGCAAACAGGAAUCUUCCGAGCAUCCAGUGCGGUGUUUCGUUUGCAAUACUGCCAAUAAUAACAUGAUUGUUAAUAAACAAAAUGCCUAAGA